GAGGGCAAACAAAACAAAUAACAAAAUGAGCGGCCUGAGAGAUAGAACAAAGAAACAGUGCGGCUCCAGCUUUAAAGAGGGGGCCGCAAUUAAGAGAGGGACUGAGAGAGGGAGUGUACACUGUACAGAGGUUUAAGAAGCACUGAUAGAGUGUGCUUGUGGAAGGUAGGGCAUUCCAAGCAGGCGACUCUCCAAGAAUUUUGUACCUUUAAGGCAGGAAUGCCCACAGUUUUAGCAGCACUGCUUCGCUGGGAGGUGGGGGCUACCUGUUGGCAAUGUGACAGCAAAUGCACAAAAGGAAGUGGCAGGCCCCAAAUAAAAAAAGAGGGGCACAGACGGGGAGGGGUACGGCGGGACGAGGCAACAACUUUAUAAAAGCGCAUUUAGCAAACAAAGCAAAAGUGACGACAACGACAACGACGACGACGACGCCAAGAAAACAGAUGGCGGAAUGGAAUGGCAUGGUUUUUGUUGGCUUUUUUGUUUGCUGCUUGUACGGUGGGCACUCUCGUGAGUAAAAAAAAGGCACUGUUCUCAUUGUGGUUAAUACUGUUUGGCAGCAACAGUCGCCGACUGAAGAAAGGAACGAGGGGCAGGGGCCGGGCAGGCCACAGCCUGGAAGGACGAAGCGCUACCUCCGAGGACCGAAGCUUAAGAUACCCUAGGAUACCCUUCCCUCAAGGAAAUGCUCAAAACCAGUAUACCUUCUGCCAGGGUAUCGAAAACGUCAGGGCGACAUUACUUGCAUUCCAAAAAGCUAUUGCGGCCGGCGGGGGAGAGAGGGAGGGCACGGAAGCUUUUUAAGAGAGAGCAUUUCUUAGAUUGAUGGCCUUUGAAAGCUCUCCGAGCAGCCUCCGGGGGCUGUUUGAUAUUCCGCAUUCGAUACAAUGAAUCGAUUUCGAUAUUCCCCUGGUAAGUCACUCGAUGAACACUUUCGAACACACAACAUUGGGAUUAUAUGUAUAUCGGGGUCUUGGGUACUUACCUAAACGCAAUUCGCCAAAAUUACCACAGCCAAUUUUUUUACCGACACGAAAAUUUGGUCCGACCAUAAGUACACCGGUCGUGGUGCUUACAGAUUGGCGGGUGG